GAAUGGUUGGUCAGGCUACAGCUAGAUUGAACAGCCAACAAAUAAGCACUUGGAGGGCAUGGACAGGGCUCAAUCCCUGCUGGUCUCUAGAGAAGAUGGAAGCUGACCAUCCAGGGUCUUUGAGCCAGGCAUCGCGUGAGAUUCUUUAAUUGCAUUGUGUUUUUUUUUUAACUCCUCAAAACUUGAUACUGUUUUCCUCAUUUUGCAGAUGAGAAAAUUUGGGACUGGCAGUGAGGUAGACUGCUUAAGGGGUCACUUCUGGGACAUCUUCUGUGUGGAUACCAGGAGGCUGGGGACAGGAAAAUGGAAGCAGUAUAAUCCCUGCUGUCUCUUGAAAAGCUUCCACUGUGGUGGAGACAGAUGCAAGCAGAGAAACAAGUGUUACAGACAGACGGUGCAUGUGACCUGGUUGACCACGGUUUCCUCCUUGGUUCCAUUUUCCUCCUCCCUCAGGGACCGCCCCCUGCCCCCUGGCCUGUUUUCUCUGCAGAAUCCUCUCCCUGUCUGUGUUGGAGGCUCCAGGAUCCAGUGUUGGUCCUGUUCUUUCCUCCCCACGGCCACGGUGAUUCACUCCAUCUCCAGGCUCUCAACACCAUCUCCGUACUGAUGGUUCCCAGAUGUCUUUUCAACCCAGACGUCUCCCUGCAACUCUAGACUCAUAUCCAGUCAUCUCCUGAUACGUCUACUUGGGUCUCCAAUAAAAGCCUUGAAAUGAACAUGUUCAAAAUGCAACUCCUGACCUCCCCCAGACCUCUGCUGCCUGCAGUCUUCCCCAUCUCAGCGAUGGCUGAGCAUUCUUCUCAGUUUUUGGCUGCAAACCUUGUAGUCCUUGGCUCUCUCUCUUUUUUUUCUCACACCUCAUAUCUGAUUUUUAGGAAAUCUUGUUGGUUUUACCUCCAAAAUAGAUCCAGCAUUUGACCAUUUCUCACCACUCUACCCCACCACCCUAAGCCAAGCAACUGUUUUUUUUGGCCUGGUCUCCCUGCUCCCAGAUCUGUCCCCUACCAGCCAACAGCCAGCUUCAUCACUUUAAAACAACAAAGGCA
ensembl:lncRNA